rnacentral:rRNA from 1 species
UACGUAGGGUGCAAGCGUUGUCCGGAAUUAUUGGGCGUAAAGAGCUCGUAGGCGGUCAGUCGCGUCUGCUGUGAAAACUCGGGGCUUAACUCCGGGCCUGCAGUGGGUACGGGCUGACUAGAGUGCGGUAGGGGAGAACGGAAUUCCUGGUGUAGCGGUGAAAUGCGCAGAUAUCAGGAGGAACACCAGUGGCGAAGGCGGUGCUCUGGGCCGGAACUGACGCUGAGGAGCGAAAGCGUGGGGAGCAAACAGG